UGCCAGCAGCCGCGGUAACACGGAGGCCCCGAGCGUUGUUCGGAAUUACUGGGCGUAAAGGGUGCGUAGGCGGUUAGGUAAGUCAGUUGUGAAAGCCCGGGGCUCAACCUCGGAAUAGCAGCCGAUACUGCCUGACUAGAGGAUUGGAGAGGAGACUGGAAUUCUCGGUGUAGCAGUGAAAUGCGUGGAUAUCGAGAGGAAGACCAAUGGCGAAGGCAGGUCUCUGGACAACUCCUGACGCUGAGGUGCGAAAGCGUGGGGAGCAAACAGGAUUAGAUA
rnacentral:rRNA from 1 species